AUGUAUCCAACCUCACUGCUCUCCAUCUUGGUCUCACUGUUCCUCUUCCAUCAACGGGUACAUGCCGAGUGUGAGCCGGUGGCGUGCGGGAACUUCACCAUCAAGUACCCGUUCUGGCUCGGCACGCGCAGCCGACCCCCGCCGGAGCCCUACUGCGGCCACCCAUCCUUCGAGCUCUGGUGCAUCGGCAGCAACACCACGGCUUCCAUGAGCGGAUCCCCCAUCCACGUCCACAGCAUCGACUACGGCGCCCAAUCCUUCGUCGUCGUCCACAGCAGAGUCGCCGCGGGCAUGGACGGCGUGUGCCUUGCCGACUUCAACGUCUCGUCCAGCCUCGCCCUCAGCCCGUUCAGGAUCAGCCCAAGCAACCGUGCCCUGGGCUUCCUGUUCAACUGCAACGGGACGGAGCCACGCGGGAGUGAGUACGCAAAAGCCACCGCGGGCUGCAAUAGGCCCAUCGUCGCGUACCUGGGCGGGAGCUUCGUUCGGGACACGCCGCCGGCGAUCCCGACCGGGGACUGCACGUACACGUACCACCCGGUGCUCGGGACGGAGGUGGCGGUGUCAACGGCGGCCAACUACAGCCGGCUCCUGAAGGCCGGGUUCCUGUUGGACUGGGCGGGCACCCGCAUCGGCACCGGCAACUGCCCCGCCUGCAUCGCCAGCGGGGGGGGGCAGUGCCGGUACCGCAGCGCAACUGCGUCGCUCGCCUGCCUCUGCCCCGACGGGAAGCUGCACGGCCCGACAUGCGCCGGUAGCAAGGGAACUAGCAAGAUGAUUAUGCUAAUAGCUGUGACAUCAGCAGCUGGAGCCUUGCUCUUUACAUGUAUUUAUGUCCUGGUGUGGCGCAAAAAAGGGAAAAUACUAUGGCUUCUCCUUUGCAAGAAGACCAGCAGGAAAACUGAAAAAAAUUAUGAGGCAAUGAUAGUUUCGUAUGGAUCCCUAGCUCCAAAAAGAUACAUGUACUCAGAGGUAAUGAAGAUAACGUCUUCUCGCAACAAUCAGCUUGGAAAAGGUGGUUAUGGUGUGGUCUUCAAAGAAAGACUACAUGAUGGUCGUCUGGUUGCUGUGAAAUUCUUGCAUGACUGCAAAGGAAAUGGGGAUGAGUUUGUGAAUGAGGUUAUGAGCAUUGGAAGGAUCUCGCAUGUUAAUGUUGUUAGCUUGUGUGGGUUUUGUUUGGAGGGAUCAAAACGAGCUCUUAUAUAUGAGUACAUGCCCAACGGUUCCUUAGAUAAGUACAUUUACUCAGAGAACCCCAAAGAAAUUUUAGCAUGGGAGAGGCUCUAUGCGAUAGCACUCGGGAUUGCUCGUGGCCUCGAAUACUUGCACCAUAGUUGUAAUACAAGUAUCGUCCAUUUCGAUAUCAAGCCCCAAAAUAUCCUUCUAGACAAGGAUUUUAGCCCGAAGAUUGCUGAUUUUGGUCUAGCUAAAUUGUGUUAUACAAAGGAGAGCAAGCUUUCAAUGACUGGUGCUAGAGGAACAAUUGGAUUCAUCGCUCCAGAAGUUCACUCUCGAACAUUUGGAGUGGUUUCAACAAAGUCAGAUGUUUAUAGUUAUGGAAUGAUGCUUUUGGAGAUGGUUGGAGGAAGGAGAAAUGUAAAAUCAACUGUUGCAAAAUCCAGUGAAAAGUAUUUUCCAGACUGGAUUUAUGAUCACUUUGCGCAAGAUGAUGGAUUACAAGCAUGUGAAGUCACAAGAGAAACUGAGGAAAUAGCAAGAAAGAUGACAUUAAUUGGCUUGUGGUGCGUACAGAUAUUGCCUGCAUAUCGCCCUACCAUAACCAAAGUUCUAGAAAUGUUCGAGAGAAGCUCAGAUGACAUGGACAUGCCACCGAAGCAAAACUUCUCAGGAUUGCUUGAAAGUUCAGCUCACAAUAUGGAUGUACAAAGUCCAAGUUCUACCAGAUCCGAGGAGAUCAGCCUUGUGAAUUCAAAAAUCCUACAACAAUCGCCAACUCUUUGA
rnacentral:rRNA from 1 species